rnacentral:rRNA from 1 species
GGGCCCGCACAAGCGGUGGAGCAUGUGGUUUAAUUCGAUGAUACGCGAGGAACCUUACCAGGGCUUAAAUGUAGUGGGACAGGUCUAGAGAUAGACCCUUCUUCGGACUCAUUACAAGGUGCUGCAUGGUUGUCGUCAGCUCGUGCCGUGAGGUGUCAGGUUAAGUCCUAUAACGAGCGCAACCCCCAUCGUUAGUUGCCAACGAGUAAUGUCGGGAACUCUAACGAAACUGCCGGUGCAAACCGUGAGGAAGGUGGGGAUGACGUCAAAUCAUCACGGCCCUUACGUCCUGGCUACACACGUGCUACAAUGGCCGGUACAGAGAGCAGCCACUUCGCAAGAAGGAGCG